UUAAGAAUUUCAAACACAGAUGUUUGUGUUUGGCUUAUAAUAGGGUUUACCUAUAUGAAGGAGAUCUGCCACACUUAACAAUUGCCUCUCUUUUUUUACGCAAUAACAGGCUCCAAUCCGAUGAUGAAGACCUAAAACCGAUCUUCUACAUGUAAUUAUAGGUGCCGCUGAGUUCAUGCCUCCCUAUGCACUUCUUUUAGGAAGUCACUUCAUUGAUGCCUGCAACAAGUAAAAAUUUCUAAAUUACUGAUACCGAUGAUCAAUAUUCUUGGUAGGAUACUUUAGCAGGAUCCCUCAAUGUUGGAGGUUCCAGUCUUCAGUUACGGGUUUCUAUGGAUGGAGAAUAGUGUGGACAUGGAUUUUCAUAUCGUGAUGGGUUGAUACAAGUUAUGAUAUUUUUCUUCAAGAUAGUUCCUUCUCAGAUGAUUGAUUUAUGGAAAAUGAACUUUAAUCGGUAUUGAUAUCGUCGGUUGUAUACAAAAUUGUGGAAUGAUAUUUAUAUUGUAUUUUUUUUUUUUUUUUUUGAAACUAUGACAAUAAAUUUUAUGAUAAAGAUUUGUUACUGUCACAGUGAACUUGUCUGGUCUUGUAUUAAAAGUGGUCUUGCAAUAAAUUAUUUAACUUGACAAGUAA